GGGUGUCGGCCGCGCGUCGCGGCGAGACAGGUUCAUGCGCCGGUCGGGCCGCCGCG
rnacentral:ncRNA from 1 species